rnacentral:rRNA from 1 species
ACCAGAGUGGACUUACCGCUGGUGUACCAGUUGUCUUGCCAAAGGCAUCGCUGGGUAGCUAUGUAGGGAAGGGAUAAGCGCUGAAAGCAUCUAAGUGCGAAGCCCCCCUCAAGAUGAGAUUUCCCAUGAUUUUAUAUCAGUAAGAGCCCUGAGAGAUGAUCAGGUAGAUAGGUUAGGAGUGUAAGUGUAGCGAUACAUGUAGCGGACUAAUACUAAUAGCUCGAGGACUUAUCCAA